rnacentral:rRNA from 1 species
UACAGAGGUCUCAAGCGUUGUUCGGAUUCAUUGGGCGUAAAGGGUGCGUAGGCGGGUUUUUAAGUCAGGGGUGAAAUCCUGGAGCUCAACUCCAGAACUGCCUUUGAUACUGAAGAUCUUGAGUUCGGGAGAGGUGAGUGGAACUGCGAGUGUAGAGGUGAAAUUCGUAGAUAUUCGCAAGAACACCAGUGGCGAAGGCGGCUCACUGGCCCGAUACUGACGCUGAGACGCGAAAGCGUGGGGAGCGAACAGG